rnacentral:rRNA from 1 species
ACGAACGCUGGCGGCGUGCUUAACACAUGCAAGUCGAACGGAAAGGCCCUGCUUUUGUGGGGUGCUCGAGUGGCGAACGGGUGAGUAACACGUGAGUAACCUGCCCUUGACUUUGGGAUAACUUCAGGAAACUGGGGCUAAUACCGGAUAGGAGCUCCUGCUGCAUGGUUGGGGUUGGAAAGUUUCGGCGGUUGGGGUUGGACUCGCGGCUUAUCAGCUUGUUGGUGGGGUAGUGGCUUACCAAGGCUUUGACGGGUAGCCGGCCUGAGAGGGUGACCGGCCACAUUGGGACUGAGAUACGGCCCAGACUCCUACGGGAGGCAGCAGUGGGGAAUAUUGCACAAUGGGCGGAAGCCUGAUGCAGCAACGCCGCGUGCGGGAUGACGGCCUUCGGGUUGUAAACCGCUUUCGCCUGUGACGAAGCGUGAGUGACGGUAAUGGGUAAAGAAGCACCGGCUAACUACGUG